rnacentral:rRNA from 1 species
UAGGGAAUCUUCCACAAUGGACGCAAGUCUGAUGGAGCAACGCCGCGUGAGUGAAGAAGGUUUUCGGACCGUAAAGCUCUGUUGUUGGUGAAGAAGGAUAGAGGUAGUAACUGGCCUUUAUUUGACGGUAAUCAACCAGAAAGUCACGGCUAACUGCGUGCCAGCAGCCGCGGUAAUACGUAGGUGGCAAGCGUUGUCCGGAUUUAUUGGGCGUAAAGCGAGCGCAGGCGGAAGAAUAAGUCUGAUGUGAAAGCCCUCGGCUUAACCGAGGAAUUGCAUCGGAAACUGUUUUUCUUGAGUGCAGAAGAGGAGAGUAGAACUCCAUGUGUAGCGGUGGAAUGCGUAGAUAUAUGGAAGAAUACCAGUGGCGAAGGCGGCUCUCUGGUCUGCAACUGACGCUGAGGCUCGAAAGCAUGGGUAGCGAACAGGAUUAGAUACCCUGGUAGUCCAUGCCGUAAACGAUGAGUGCUAAGUGUUGGGAGGCUUCCGCCUCUCAGUGCUGCAGCUAACGCAUUAAGCACUCCGCCUGGGGGAGUACGACCGCAAGGUUGAAAC